UACGAAGGGGGCUAGCGUUGCUCGGAAUCACUGGGCGUAAAGAGCUCGUAGGUGGUUUGUCGCGUUGUUCGUGAAAACUCACAGCUCAACUGUGGGCGUGCGGGCGAUACGGGCAGACUGGAGUACUGCAGGGGAGACUGGAAUUCCUGGUGUAGCGGUGGAAUGCGCAGAUAUCAGGAGGAACACCGGUGGCGAAGGCGGGUCUCUGGGCAGUAACUGACGCUGAGGAGCGAAAGCGUGGGGAGCGAACAGG
rnacentral:rRNA from 1 species